UGCCAGCCGCCGCGGUAAUACGGAGGGGGCGAGCGUUAUUCGGAAUUACUGGGCGUAAAGGGUGCGUAGGCGGCCCAUCAAGUUAGACGUGAAAGCCCCGGGCUCAACCUGGGAAUUGCCUUUGAUACUGCCAGUCUCGAGUUCAGGAGAGGUAAGCGGAAUUCCGAGUGUAGAGGUGAAAUUCGUAGAUAUUCGGAGGAACACCAGAGGCGAAGGCGGCUUACUGGACUGAUACUGACGCUGAGGAGCGAAAGCGUGGGGAGCAAACAGGAUUAGAUA
rnacentral:rRNA from 1 species